GACGAACGCUGGCGGCGUGCCUAAUACAUGCAAGUAGGACGCAGUUGCGAACGGGUGAGUAACGCGUAUGUAACUACCUAUUAGAGGGGGAUAACUAUUGGAAACGAUAGCUAAUACCGCAUACUAGUAGCUGGACCUGCGUUGUAUUAGUUAGUAGGUAGGGUAAUGACCUACCUAGGCAACGACACAUAGCCGAACUGGAGGGGUGAUUGACCACAAUGGGACAGAGACACGGACCGAAAUACUACGGGAGGCAGAAGUAGGGCAUCGUCGGCAAAAGGGGGAAACCUGACCGAAGAACGCCGGGUGGGUGAAGAAGGUUUUCGGAACGGAAAGCUCUGUUGAUAGGGAAGCAGUACUUAACCAGAAAGGGACGGCUAACUACGUGCCAGCAGCCGCGGUAAUAC
rnacentral:rRNA from 1 species